rnacentral:rRNA from 1 species
CGGUGAGUAAUACAUCGGAACGUGUCUUCUAGUGGGGGAUAACUGCCCGAAAGGGCAGCUAAUACCGCAUGAGACCUGAGGGUGAAAGUGGGGGAUCGCAAGACCUCGCGCUGGAAGAGCGGCCGAUGUCCGAUUAGCUGGUUGGUGAGGUAAAGGCUCACCAAGGCGACGAUCGGUAGCUGGUCUGAGAGGACGACCAGCCACACUGGGACUGAGACACGGCCCAG